CCUAUGCAUGGUUUACAGUAUGAAAAAUCUAGAUCAAGCGCAAGACGUGCCUUUAUCGGUUCACACAAGCUAUGCUCAACUCGGAUCUAUGAGCUCUCACGAGACUUCCGUAGCGUGUUUGUUCGCAUUUCUACUUUUAUUGUGGUUUUUUAGGGAACCAGGCUUUAUCUCGGGCUGGACUGCCUUAGUCUCUAAAUAAGUUACGCAACAUUAGGGAUGUGAAGGACUCGAUUCUAGCAUAUGUCCUCGUAUUAUGUUUCCUGUGCCACGUGACCCCACCAAAUGGGCAACAUCGCCUGCAAUUCUGGUUAUUCAUGAGGAGGCGCUCUCAUCUGUCGUAUUCCUUAUUGGCGGGUCGAUGGCUCUCAGCGAUGGAGUCCAGGUCUCUAGCCUAUCAACAUGGAUAGGUGACCAAAUGGGUUGGCUACAAGAUGUACCACCGGUGCCUUUGGCCUUCCUCGUGUUACUCACGGCUAUGUGCCUCACAAAGGUGGCCUUAAACACACCAACCUGCUCCGUUUUACUGCCGGAUGAAAUUGUACUAAAAGCUUUUAAUCACUUAAUAGCGUUGAUUCCUCAAGUUCGUCUAGUGAGAUAAAGCAAAAAUCCCACAUGCGUGCGUUAUGGCUUCUUGUUAAGGAACGCGGGUGCCCAUUCCCUAUUGAUACUACUGCCCGUAGCCUUCUGCUGCUCGGACGCGUCCGUGUUUUCGGUGGCCACUGCGCCCAAUGCGAUUAUUGCCGAUAGUUCCGGAAUGACGACAUACGAAAUGGUUGGCGUCAAGAAUAAUUAUUCUUAUAAUGUAGCUACACAGCGCCGGAUACAAGUCAAAGCGUACCUAGUAGCAGAACAACAAACGACUGGAUGUAUGUCUGUAAUUUUCCUUCUUACGCCGAAACUUCAGGCACGAUCAGGUUUAAUUAUGAAGCUGAUCUGUCUGACAACUCUAAUGAUAUUUACGUUGGUCAUCGUUCCACUAAUUUUCAACGUCAACGAUCUAAGCAGUAUCGAUUUCGACCGCUAAAUCAGCGGCUAAAUGGAUGGCGUGAACGGUCGUCUGCAUAAUUUCGUAAAUGGAAGUAAGCAAAGUUGGGAUUAUCGGCAGGGUGCAAGCAAUCGGCUGUUCUAGAAAUGCAGAAUGGAAAACAAAUCUGUGUUUGUGCAGUUUUACAAAAUUAUACAUAAAAUGAUGUUGUUGGUCUAAGCAUAAGGUUAAACAAUUAUUCCUUUGUGUGGUAAUAUUAAAAUACUUAGUUGCCGAUUAAACGUGAUACACCAAAUUAGAUUAUGGCGAGACGUAUAAACAUGAGAUAUAGCAUCAAAGUAAGGAAGUGUUGAGUACUAUUUUUGCACAUUGUUUGAUGCAUUAUCGAACCCAUCGUUGCUCUCAAAAGCAGAGCGAGUCGGAAAUAACUUCAUUUCACGUACUUAAAGUUACUACUGUUGUCAUAUUCGAAAGCUAUACAUGAGCAGAACUGACAACCUGUGAAGCGGACAAGGCUCAGUUGGUCUAUUAUUAUCAGGUUUGUCCUGCAAACUCUACAAUACACUAUUUUCCUACUCAAAAAAGCUAGCGUAACUCUUAGGUAGCGCUAGCUAACGAUUUGAUUUUCUACGUUGUACCAUCGCUUACUAUGUUGGCGAUUGUUUGCAUCUGCCGUUGUGUUGCAUAGUAAUCUACGAGGCGUCGUGCUCGAAGUUGGCAGCCAAAUCGGUAAAUACGCAGGAUGUUACCGCUUUGUCGAUACUACGUGUCGUUUCGGGGGUAGUUUCAGUAAAUGUUUGAACGGGGGUGGUAAAUAAUUAAGCGCACACUCCAUAGAGUAUCGGUGCUGCGGCCUGAUUCGUUAGGCGCGAUUUGUAGAUGAUAACGAAAUGUCAGUUGUGUUGAAUAUUGUGAAAACUCUUUCCGCGACAAAGGGAAAAGCUACGAAACGCUAAGCCUUUAGACAAAUGAAAGGAUAACAAAAAAAUAAGAGAAGAAUGAUUGAGCUGAUCCGAAAAAUACACAGAAAUUUAGCGUCUUUAUUAAAAUACGUGAGUGUCUUUUUCCACUGGAUUACGCAGACCCGGAUGCCGCGCAUUCAUUUACAUUGUCUAUAAUUAAAUUUAUCCUUUUCACUGAAAAACAGUCUGACAUAUAUUUUGUAUCAUUUACAUAUCGUUACCCAGCGACUCUCACUCUGCUUCACCCGGAGACGUAAACAGGUAGUAAAUUGUUUUAUGAAUAUUUGUUGAUGUAGUGAAUGUUCUAAUAUGUCUUAAUACAGAAUUGGAAUCUCUCAAUCCUAGCUUCGCCAAAGGUUUAAUCUGAUGCCCGUAAAAAAUAGCCCAUGGUGAUUAAGCGGAACUGCGCAGUACAACUAUGUUAAUCACUCAAAUAAUUAGAAAAACAUUACAUCCUAAACUUAGAUUUCACAGUUGCCGACUCUGAUGUCCUACCUAUCCGCUUAACUUCGGCAGUAAACGGCAGACAGCACACCAGAGAUCCUACAUUGUCACAGUAAUCUAGAAGUUCUAGCGUACUUUCAAGAAACAGGCGUAACGAAAUAUCCCUGCAACCCUUUAAAUUGUGUUACACAGCUCGUAUUCUAGCUAUUUAAAAUUAAUUGAAGAACUUACAUGUAGAAUUCAUGAAGACCUUGGUAUUAAACAACAAAACCAGCAGCCUGGUCACUUUUACUGAGUCUUUAGAAGUACUUAACGGA